rnacentral:rRNA from 1 species
UACGAAGGGGGCUAGCGUUGCUCGGAAUUACUGGGCGUAAAGGGCGCGUAGGCGGCUUUGUAAGUUAGAGGUGAAAGCCCGGGGCUCAACCCCGGAAUUGCCUUUAAGACUGCAUCGCUUGAAUCCGGGAGAGGUGAGUGGAAUUCCGAGUGUAGAGGUGAAAUUCGUAGAUAUUCGGAAGAACACCAGUGGCGAAGGCGGCUCACUGGACCGGUAUUGACGCUGAGGUGCGAAAGCGUGGGGGAGCAAACAGG